UGUUCCAAGUCUGCUGUAUGCAGAAAUGACAGUAGUUUCUUGUAGCUGUUUUCUGCUUAUCUUUAAUUUUCCCAAGAAAUCAUCGUGUUGUCAUCAUAUUGCUGAAUAUUGCUGAACUUGUAUGGAAAUAGAUGAUGGUUUCCUAGUUAAGCUGCCGGUGCUGCUGAUUUUUUUCCCUUCUGGAUCAACAUCGACUUUGGAGUGUUAUGUAGUUUUGUUCUGGGAAAAUUGCUGAACUUGUAUGGAAAUAGAUGAUGGUUUCCUAGUUAAGCUGCCGGUGCUGCUGAUUUUUUUCCCUUCUGGAUCAACAUCGACUUUGGAGUGUUAUGUAGUGGAGUUCUGGGAAAUGGAAUAUCAUACGCAGUUACCGGUUGCUCUAUUCUGAGACAUUUAUCUGCUCUGGCUUUGAUUGAUUUUAAAACUUCUUGUGAUGGAUCAACCUUAGCUUUCUCUGUCUCUCCUUCCAAAUAUCUCAGUGGAGGCUUUUGGUUUCAGAGAUACCUUCAAGCUCCUAAGUAAUAGCAGACGAUCUGAUGCCUUGC
rnacentral:lncRNA from 1 species